rnacentral:lncRNA from 1 species
GUUUUAGCAAUCCGGAUGUCCGAAAUUUAAAAACAUUCAAAAACAAAUUUCUUUUUCCCUCUAUUUUGAGCAGUCCUUCCCAUUGUGAAAUUGGCAUUUUGACUAUGCGGGUUAACACUAGAUUUUGUUUUAAUUAGUAAUUUAUAUGUUUUUGUGUUCACAUUUACAGUUAUAAAAAAGUUCUAAAAGUAAAAACGUUUUUUACUCUUGAUAUAUACAAGGUUGCGUGAGUUUUUGCGAGGCAUGGCGGAUGUCCGGGGGGAGGGGGUGUCACUAAUUCGGACAAUGCCGGACAAGGGGGGGGGAGGGUCUGAAAAUCCAUCAUUUGGCCGGACAUCCUUUGUG